rnacentral:rRNA from 1 species
UACGGAGGGUGCAAGCGUUAUCCGGCUUUACUGGGUUUAAAGGGUGUGUAGGCGGGCUAUUAAGUCAGUGGUGAAAUCUCCGGGCUCAACCUGGAAACUGCCAUUGAUACUAUUAGUCUUGAAUUUUGUUGAGGUAGGCGGAAUAAGUCAUGUAGCGGUGAAAUGCAUGGAUAUGACUUAGAACACCAAUUGCGAAGGCAGCUUGCUAAACAAAUAUUGACGCUGAGGCACGAAAGCGUGGGGAGCAAACAGG